GUGAAAAUGCACUGACAGACCAUUAAUAUGGAGCUGAUCGCAAAAAUCUCAGUGAAAUAUGAAAGUCUUUGUAGUUUUAUUAAAGCAAAAGCACUUUUGGACUCCACACCAAUAUUUCACCAGAAGAAUUAUGAGCAUCCACUACAUCAUAAAUAGAAUAACAACGUCGAGUUUUAUAAACUGGAAAUGGUUUCUUCUGUUCUGUCCUGAUGACUCGAACUGAUCGGGCAUUUAACUCGAUUUCACGCACGCAAAAUUGUGAAUUUUUGCAAAUCACGACUCUUAUACGUACCUUUAAACCGGUACCGAGGACGACGUAGUCAUAUUCUUCAUCCAUUGCAAACGGAAAGAACUUUAAAACGAAGAAAAUCACAAGAAAUUGCUUUAAAUUUCUUUCAAAUGUUACACGAUUCACACACCCUGAGUUGAGGAAGAAGAGGGUUGAUGAAGGCUAAUAUAAAUCCACCUAUGGAUACAAGGGUUCUUUUGGGGAUAAUGAACAACUCACCAAUAUUGAGGUGCAAAAAUCUAAACGUUACUAAAAU